rfam:Eubacterium limosum KIST612, complete genome.
GGGGAGAUGCCCGAGUGGCUAAAGGGGGCGGACUGUAAAUCCGUUGACGGAGUCUACGAUGGUUCGAAUCCAUCUCUCCCCA